rnacentral:rRNA from 1 species
GACGAACGCUGGCGGCGUGCUUAACACAUGCAAGUCGAACGGAGUGGCGAACGGGUGAGUAACACGUCGGGGAUCUGCCUUGCACUUCGGGAUAAGCUUGGGAAAAUGGGUCUAAUACCGGCUAGGGCAAGAUGAGAUCGCGGCCUAUCAGCUUGUUGGGGGGGUAAUGGCCUACCAAGGCGUCGACGGGUAUCCGGCCUGAGAGGGUGUACGGCCACAUUGGUACUGAGAGACGGCCCAGUGGCGAACGGGAGGCAGCAGUGGGGAAUAUUGCACAAUGGGCGGAAGCCUGAUGCAGCGACGCUGCGUGGGUGAUGAAGGCCUUCGGGUUGUAAGCUCCGUUCGACAGGGACGCGGUACCUGUAUAAGAAGCACCGGCUAACUACGUGCCAGCGGCCGCGGUAAUAC